AAGCCUACCUGCUGUAUAAUGCA
rnacentral:siRNA from 1 species